rnacentral:misc_RNA from 1 species
GAAAACAACCCAUUACAAUAGUUAAGCCCAUAAACAAAUCCAAUAACAGGCUCAAAAUAGAAGAGAACAGUUGCCCUAAAUUAAUCGGGUAGAGUACCCAAAGGAAAAAGGAAGACCUAUACCCUUCACCUAGUAGCGCCACUCCUCUUCACUUGGCCAUGGAUCCCAUAUAACUUUCAAGACAAAACUCGACGGCCAAACAGAGAAGUACCCUAUCGACACACAAAUGGGAGCAUCCCAUUGCUAGCAACCCUUCAGGAUUAUUAACAGCAAGCAACCAUGGAGCUCAAGUUGUUCUGCAUCAACCGACAGCCUGUGGAGGCAAGAGUUGAAGGAAAGGGGUGAGCCCACUCAAAAGCCUCGCGACACCUGCUAAUGUCGACUCUUAAAGGCUCUCGGGGGACCUCCACUCUUUUUCCACAAGAGAAGCCUGGCGAUCCUGCUGAAGCCAAUACCAAUGACGCACCGAAGGUGCCAAAACAUGCCUACAUCAGGAGCUUUAAGUGGCAUUGUGCAUCCAACACCAAGGAGCCAAUUCAAGCCUUCAACCCAAAGAUCGAGCCUCUGUAGCAAAGAAAACCCAACAAGCAUAGCACAACAAGCCAAACUUUCAGUGGAUUAAAAGAACCCUCAUGUGGAUUUCCACCGUAAUCCCUAAUCCCUAAUGAUUCAUCCCUAAUCCCUAAUGAUUGUUGGUAACCUCAAUCUCUCUUCUCUCUCUUCUUUCCACUUAUCGGUACCGUUUCUAUCUUUUUACGAAUUUUAUCAAUACUUCAUCUAGUUUAAUAUAUCUAGUUUCUUAGACACGCAUCGUAGGACUCCAUGGCCGACUCCGCCCAACGUAUAACUAUAAAAUUUUCCAUCUUAAGAAUCUUGGGAUCACAUAAAAUUAUUUUUGUAACACAUCUCCACUUCAAUUAUUCAUUCAGCUUUAAUCUUAUAACAUCCUCCUUACACUCUCAACCCACGCUAUCCCAAGGGUAAACACACUCCAAGAUAGGUGAGAAUAGUCUCUCCCUUACCCUAUCGGGGCAGAAGAGACACUAGACAGCAAAUGACGAGGCAAAGCCUUCAACGCACGAAGAACAGAUAAGAAGGUUCUGAUUUGAGCAAACACAGAAGAAGAACAGAUUAUACAUGUCUAUUAGAACUAAGAAAAUCCAAAGAGAAUUGGAGGGCUCUACCACUCCUCAAAUAGUUGAAAAAUGAGGGAACAGAGGC